UUUGUUAUAAUUAUACUACUGUAUAUUAUAGUGGAUUUACACGUGCAAGUUGCAUCUUUCUCUACUGUCUACCUGUGUCUCUCCAUCUCCACUGAUGGCUAACGUGUACUGUGGAAGCCUAUAAGAAUGAAAUUGUUGUCACUACGUGCCUUCUCAGAAAACCCACCGACUUCAUUCCUUGGAAGUAUACGAAACCCGCCAGUUAUCACCCGGUUCCAUGUCAUCUUCCUAUCCGCUAUACUUCCCGAUCAUUCACCGCUCACGUUAUCUUCCCUCCUGCUCCACCGUCUCCGCAUCUACAAAAUUCCCGCCGCCUCUAUUUCUUUGCCGUGUAUUGCAACAAGGCUGGUCGGAGGGAGUUAUCGCCCGAAAAAGGAGAUGUGGCGGGUAAAGAUUGUCGACUUUGUGUCAGUCGAAAAAGAGGGUUCUUACUCUGUCGGGAUUUCUAAAUAUGCCACGCCACCGACGCUACCAGAGCAUCCAUCGGAACCCCACAUAGUUAUUAAGAAAUCAUCCCAAACAGUUAAUCUCUUCAGUUUAGAACUUUAUCCAUCAUACACACUACACAAAAACCAAGUAUGACCUCUGUUUCAUCUAAGUAGUACACAGAUAUGUUGCCAUUAUGAAUUCAAUUUUUCCUGCUCAAAGAUCAAUGGUGCCUAUAAAUUCAUGUGUUAUUGGGUCACAACAUUCUGCAUUCCUGCAACAAUUGAGUAAAUUACAAAUUUGUCCCUUUCCUUUACAUUGUGUUGGCUACUUAAAUAGAAAGAUGUUGACAAAAAUAUUAGUAAAAUAUUGUUAAUCUCAAAAUAUAAAGAUUUUUUUUUUGAUGUUUAAUAUUUAUCCAAUCUCUUUGACAUUCGGCUUAACAUAAAAUUCUAAUGGCAAUGAUAUUAAAAAAAUGACCAAGUGUGAUGCGUUCUAAACUUUUCCAUAUGAACAUUCAUUUUUUUUUUUAGGUUGCAUCUAAAAUAAAUGAUUGACCAUGUAUGUGAUAACAAUGUCAUUGCAAUUCCUCUUGAAGGAAAAAUGAUGAGAUUUGGAUUGUUGGCUGUAGCAUUUACAGCUUAUUUCCAGGUCAUCAUACUAUGAUUGAUUCAUCAUAAGAACCGCCUGAGGUGAGGGAAACUGCCUUGGUUGUGAUUAAACGUGCAACUUAUUGAUAUUAUUGCAAUUUGCACAUGAAACUGCUGGGUGUGGAUCGGUUCAAUGUAAGUCAAUAAAAUCUUUCCAUUAUGCAAUUUGCACAUGAAACUGCUGGGUGUGGAUCGGUUCAAUGUAAGUCAAUAAAAUCUUUCCAUUAUGCAAUUUGCGGGGUUCUUCCCUAGUUAUAUUAUUAGUUUAUGUAAAAUUGUUUAAUAUUUUAUACUUAUAAAUAAGAAAUUUAUUGAA